rnacentral:tRNA from 1 species
GCCUGGGUGGCUCAGUCGGUUGAGCGUCUGACUUCGGCUCAGGUCACAAUCUCGCCAUCCGUGAGUUCGAGCCCCGUGUCGGGCU